rnacentral:rRNA from 1 species
UACGUAGGGGGCUAGCGUUGUCCGGAUUUAUUGGGCGUAAAGAGCGUGUAGGCGGCCAUGUAGGUCUGCUGUGAAAACUCGAGGCUUAACCUCGAGAUGUCGGCGGAAACCAUCUGGCUAGAGUCCGGAAGAGGAGAGUGGAAUUCCUGGUGUAGCGGUGAAAUGCGCAGAUAUCAGGAAGAACACCAGUGGCGAAGGCGGCUCUCUGGGACGGUACUGACGCUGAGACGCGAAAGCGUGGGGAGCGAACAGG